GACGAACGCUGGCGGCGUGCUUAACACAUGCAAGUCGAACGGAAAGGCCUCUUUCGGGGGGUACUCGAGUGGCGAACGGGUGAGUAACACGUGAGUAACCUGCCCUUGACUUUGGGAUAACUUCAGGAAACUGGGGCUAAUACCGGAUAGGAGCUCCUGCUGCAUGGUGGGGGUUGGAAAGUUUCGGCGGUUGGGGAUGGACUCGCGGCUUAUCAGCUUGUUGGUGGGGUAGUGGCUUACCAAGGCUUUGACGGGUAGCCGGCCUGAGAGGGUGACCGGCCACAUUGGGACUGAGAUACGGCCCAGACUCCUACGGGAGGCAGCAGUGGGGAAUAUUGCACAAUGGGUGGAAGCCUGAUGCAGCAACGCCGUGUGCGGGAUGACGGCCUUCGCGUUGGAAACCGCUUUCGCUCAUGACGAAGCUUUGUGUGACGGUAGUGGGUAAAGAAGCACCGGCUAACUACGUG
rnacentral:rRNA from 1 species